CCUGGGACUAUGAGUCUAUCCCUGCCCACUGGACAUGCCCUGCACCCAGCCUGACCACACCACUCCAGUCCCUGGUCUCAGUAACAAACACAGAUAUUGACUUAGACACAAGGACAAAAAGACUGCUGGAGCUGACCUCGGAUCUGUACGUAGCCACUCACCAACCAGACCACAUCAUUCCCCUCCAGCGUUCGUCUGAGGGUGUCCGUUGGAGAAGUCCAACCCGUCGCAGUGUCUCGGUGGACAGGUUGCUUGAUCACCUCAGCCCCAGGCUUCAGAAGGCCUGGAAACGUGGAGGUUCUCCUGAGAGACAGACUCUGGACCAUGGCCGCCAGGCCUCUUCCUCUCCUAGGCCAGACUCCACCUCGAAGGACGUCCUCUCCUCCGCCCUCCUCUCCGUCCCCUCAGAGACCCACCUGCAGGCCAAGUCCAGAUAUCAGACGAUCAGCACUACACAGAGUUCCAGAUUAGGGAGUAUUGACUUCCCUGUACCCAGGAUCCCCUCACCUCGGCUGGGGGUUUCCGAGCUAUCCUCUGCCCUGAAAGGCCUUCUGGAUCUGGUGGACCAGCACUGGAG